CACGUAGGGACCAAGCGUUGUCCGGAUUUAUUGGGCGUAAAGCGCUCGUAGGCGGUUCGGUAAGUCGGGUGUGAAACCUCCAGGCUCAACCUGGUGACGCCACCCGAUACUGCCGUGACUUGAGUUCGGUAGGGGAGCGGGGAAUUCCUGGUGUAGCGGUGAAAUGCGCAGAUAUCAGGAGGAACACCGGUGGCGAAGGCGCCGCUCUGGGCCGAAACUGACGCUGAGGAGCGAAAGCGUGGGGAGCGAACAGGAUUAGAUACCCUGGUAGUCCACGCCGUAAACGUUGGGCACUAGGUGUGGGUCCUAACCAACGGGAUCCGUGCCGUCGCUAACGCAUUAAGUGCCCCGCCUGGGGAGUACGGCCGCAAGGCUAAA
rnacentral:rRNA from 1 species